UGUAUAAUUUAAUAUUUGUUAUUAAAUUAGCAAUCCGUCCUUACAAAUCUAGAGUAUAAAUACUCAGCCAUUUCUAGAAAAGCUCCUUUCCUGUUUCUACCAGUGGACGAUCUAGAAGUGCGCGUCGUGUCUAGAAUUUAAAAAGUAUUAAAAUUGUGAUUAGCUAAAGAGUGUUUAAAACUUAUUAAUUAUUGUGUUGUUUCUUUUCAUAAAAACUUAGAGGCUUAAAACUAAUAGUACGGGCAAUAGUACGGAAGAAGUUUGUGAAUAACGAGAACAAAAUAGUACGUUUGCUCGAAAUCGGAUCGGAAAUGUAUAAUCCGAAGUGUCUGUAAAUUAAGAAUAUCCAAGAGAAAGGUCCAGAAACGGGCCUUUCUCUUUUCUAUAUGUUCUCGGAACAAGUUCCGACUAUUCCUCAGGACUUCCGAGAAGCCACAGCCCGAUACGCUACGAACAUCGUCCCGAAAAGUUAAUGGUGAGCAGGAAAGUAUUGAACCAUCCGUCAAUCUGGUUUAUACCCCCCCCCCCCCCCCAACUGCUGGGAUCAGCAUGCGCUUCAGACCACCAACAAUGUCUGGAUGUGCCUAUUACCGACUCGAACCACCAUCGAACAUCAUCCGUCAGGUGCUAUUCGCCACCGGAAUGCACCGCAACGCCAUCUACAAGCGACAGUCAUCUGCAAGCUACCACGGAUCCGGAUCCCAACGAUAAACAACCGCAAGUACCCUAAGUGACGUCAGAGUAGGAGAGGUGUGUCCAAAAUGGACGAAUAAAUAGUUGUUAAGAAAAACUUUGUG